rnacentral:lncRNA from 1 species
UGAUUUUUUUUGUUAUUUUUACAGAUUUAAAGAACUCGCUUACUAGGGUUUUUAAUAUAAGAAAGCAACUAGCAGGCAUAGGUUAUCUUAGAAUAGAGUUUAUUGAUGUACUAACCUAAAACAUUGUUAGAAUAAAUAUUUAAAUAUUAAGCUAGUUAUUAAAAUAAAAUUUAAAUAUUAUUAUUUAAAUUAUUUUUCUGUAUAUUUAUGAGACGGGCGUAUUCCCACCUAUAGGGCUGCGACCCUAAAGGAAACAGCUAGAUGGCUGUUUUUUUUUUUUGGUAAGGUUGGGGGGCUGCGCUUUUUUUUUUUUUGAAAACCGGGAGGUCAGAGAUUCGGGGGGCGGGGGGCGGGUGGUGGGGGCGGGCUGCGCACAAAAAGAAGUCAUAUCCUUUUUGUUUUUUUGGUAAACCGGGAGCUCAGAGACGCCAAAGGAAACAACUAGAUGGAACGUAGAUAGAUACAACCCAUGGCAUCAAACUCAGGCGAGCAAAAUCUGGAUGAAUAAUUGACCUGUGAGGUUCAUGUUUGUGUGUCUGCCGGCGAGCCUGUCCGCCGGAAAGCCAUCACCCAAACCCCUACAGGAGUGUCCGUCAGUCGCCACCAUCUCCUUGUUUCAUGCGCUAGAGAGAAUUUAAACUUUCCUAGUUGAAUCACAUCUAGAUUAAAAAACGCAGAGCUGGAUUCAUGAAAGCUAAGACUGAGCUAAUACAUAUGGAACUUAUGGAUCCAGAUUUAUUCUGAAUCCAAAAUUCCCUGGAAAUAGCAGAUGAACUUCUGCAAUUUCUAGCUACUAACAUCAACAACGGAACACCAGGAGCACCCAGGCCUCUAGCUUAUUCAUAAUCGAAUGCAGCAACCCAUUAUACACUAAGAUUUAGAAGGCAAUAAAGUAUGUGCCUCCUCGAUUAACCUCAAGCUCUUGAGAGACAUCCGAUAAAUUCGGAACCAUCAACGGCUCAUUCCCCCUUGAAUCCCUGGCGGUAAGGUCGCCCCCUGCCCCUGCCCCUGCCCCUGCCUCUCCACGUUCGCGCGCCACCCUACAAAAUCCCCAAAGAUUCGCUCACUUCCCAUUAUCCUCACUAUGAGGGGAAAGAGACAUAUAAAGGUAAAUAGAGAGAGAGAGAAAGAGAGAGUUCAACAAAAUACAAACCAAUGGCCAUGUUAAAGCCACGGCGCUUGAGCUCACGGUACUCCUGGCAGAGGGCGCACGACUCGCAGAAGCAGUGAACGAGGCAGUCGUUGCAAGGGCUCUCCUGCAGCGAGUACUGCGCUCUCAGCUUGGAUCGAUAGAAGCACGAGUACAAGCAAGGGCACCCCGUCACCCACAUUACUAACGCAUACAGCGCUCCACUCACACCACACGCUUCAGAAAUCCAACAUCAUCCACCAUUAGACAAGCAAAUCAGCCAAGAAUUAAAACAUGCAUAGGACGCGGUGGAAUUCAUGACUCACAGGUGGAUCCUUUAUCGGCAAUCUCCGCGAUCUGGCCAAAAGUGAUGCAUGGGCAGCAACAAGUAAGGCAGCCUGCACCGGAAGAGCUUUUGGUUAAUUAAGGUCAGAUUUGGAUGGCUGUUGGGUGUUCGGGUGAAAAGAAGGAAAUCGAAUGGGGAGUUAGAGGAGGAGGAAGGUGUUACAGUUGCCGCAGUCGUCGAAGCAGUCGCAGAGUCCGGUGGACCAUGGAACGGGUUCCUGAGAAUGGACUUGGAAGGCGGCAGGGCCGGUCGGGGCGAAGUAUUGGUUGGCGGAGCUUACAGGGAUGCCUGUUGUCGGCGGCGGCGCCAUCGUCGGAGGAUAAGUGGGCUCUGGUUUGGGCGGAUACAUGGUGGUGGUCGUGGUGGUGGUGGGUGGGAUGGGAGAGGACCGGGAGGUGAAGAAAAGAUUGGGACAAGAUAUCAGGCGGUGUUGGAGUGACUGAAAUAGAAAAAAACUUGGCGAACUCCCGGGUCACGACGUGGAAAUUAAGUGACAAGGUUUGGAGGGGUAGGUUUGUAUCUUCCGUGCGAAUCGACCAUUAGAUCACAUACUGCACAAAUCUUAACACGUCCAAACUCAUCAUGCUCCAAUUCGUGAAAAAAAAGAAGAAUUCUUUUCUUCAUAUGAAAGAUACAACCUAUUCCGCGUACAAAGGGCACAUGAUUGACUCGAUCUAUUGACAUCUCUAUCCCUAAGUCUUACUUACCUAAUCUUAGGCCACGAAGACUUACAUCUAUGAUAAUGGAAAAUUAAGCGAGAAUUUUAAACUAAAUCAGUUAAUUACCUUUGUGCUGAUGCCUGGCUACAUGUUCUAGAGAUGAGUGAUGUUAUGGCAAUGCGGACAUCUUGCAAAGAAAAGUUGCCCAGCUUCUGUGCAACCUCCCUAUUAGUCCUCUAACUGAGAGAAAUGAAUGAUGCCAUGGGCUGCCAACGAUGGUUAAUUACACACAUCUUCGUUACCUCAGCAUUUUCCUAGAGAGAUCGAAGUUGGUUUAUGGUUGAAGUAUCAUGUCAUUUUCUUUUCAUUAAGUUCCUUCAUAUAAUUGUUGAAAAUUUACAAAAAUCUAAGCUGAAGUACUUGGUGUUGUUCAGCUUGGAAAAGAUACUGACUAUUGCACAUGGUUCACCUACAAUUUGAUGCAAUUUGGCACAACCAAUGUAAUUCACGUGCAUCUUGGCAUGAGUUUUACUUUCUACAGCUGAUGUUAGAGCCCAGCGUGUAAUCAGAUUUGAUCAAUUCCGGACACCACGCCCAGUUUAGACCUGAAUUCAAGUCAAGUUUGGAAACUAACCCAUCUUAGGGUUGGUUGUCAGACUACCGAGUUUUUUAUUAGGCCAUCAAGUGUAUGGGCUUUUAAAAGAGUACGUCACAACUCUUCUGAAAGAAGCACCUGAAGAAAAGGAUAAGAGUUUUAAUGUUUUUAAACCAUCUAAAAUUUAGGAGAUAAAGUUAGUAUAUUUAUUUUUUAUAAUCAAAUCUUUUUUUAAGUUAAAACUCCAACAAUCUUUAUAAAAGAUUUAAAUUUAGAAAAAUUAUAUAGAAGAAAAUCUAGGCAACUUAUACUAUGCAAUGGGUGAGGUGUCCCGCAGAAUUGAACCUCACUUAAUAUUGAUAGUAUAUGUCUGAAGGAACUAUAGUAGAUUAGACCUCGAAGUAGGUCCUUUGACUUAUACUUCUACUUAUGACACACACAGUACGAAUCAAUUGGGUCUUUAUGUGGUUAGCACCAUUUAAAGACCUUGUUCUUAGUUCCCUGAUUUUUUAUGAAAAUUUCAUUAGGGUUAGCCCAAAUCCAUAGUCGUGGCUUAUACGACAAUUCUCACAUAGGUAAGUCCUCCAAAAAUAUUUAUGACCUAAUACCCUGCAGAUUUUCUAUCUUAGACUCAUUAAGAGUAUAACUCACCCUUUUCAGUAUAUAUUUUUAUCACUGAUAAGAGCGCUCGUCAUAGGGAUGAGAAGAGAUAUACUCCGAAAAAAUGUGCUCUAACACGAUCACUCAAUCAGCUUCGUUUUUACCAUAUGAAAGCUCCUCCAUGGGAUCUCCGAUCAUAGAAGAUGGGUAUCCACUAUCGAUGACUAAAUAGUGGGUUUAAGUACCAUCCCCCUCGAUGAUUCUAUGACUCCAUUUCUAGACAAACCUUUGGUUAAAUGAUCUACCAAGUUUUUCUCAGACUUGACAAAUUUCAAAAAAAUGACAUUACUCUUUUUGAAUUGUUUUACAAAUUUAUGAUGAAUUCGGAUAUGUCGGUUCAUCUUUUUGUUAGUACUUUUUUGAUUUAUCAAUUCUAUUUCGGCCUUAUUAUCACAAUGGAUUGAUAUGGAACUAGCUUAAGUACUAAAGGUAGCUUAAAGAUAAAAUUUUUAAUCCACUCUGCCUCAGUAUAGGUGAUAUCCAGAGCAAUCAACUCUUCCUUCAUAGUGCUCGAAGAUAUAAUAGUUUGUCUGGAUGAUCCCCAAGCAACGGUAGCACUGUCGAGAAGAAAGAGAUAUCCGAUGGUUAAUUUAAAAUCAAGAGAAUCGGUAAUCCAAUUUGUAUCAUUGUAACCCUCAACCAUCUCAAGAUAUUCAGUAUAAAAGAAAUUUAAUUUUAUAAAAUAAAAAAAUAAUUUUAAAAAUUAAAUAUACCAACUUUAUUUUUUAAAUUUUAGAUGGUUUAAAAAUUUUAAAAUUCUUAUCCUUUUCUUCAAACGCUUCUUUUUUCAGAAGAGUUGCGACUCUUCUGAAAAGAACGUGUGCUCCAGUUUCUGUUGGGAUGCGAUGUUUCUGAAACAUUGCAUCUUCGAAAUCGCCGCACCAUAUCGGUCACCGGACAGAGUUUAUAAAUAGGCUAUAGGUCUAGUACUUGGGAUAACUUAAUCCGCAUUACUACUUGCCUGCUUUUUGAGACGAAACAGAGAAUCGUUCUCUCCUUUUUCUUUUUCUCUUCUUCCAAAUCUAUUUUAAGUUUUUCUUUUCACUUGGGCAACUGAAAGAGUCAGUCGGGUUGAGCCUCCCCAACGAUCAUACUCGUUAGAGAAGGAUCGGUCUGAGUCAAGUUGUUGUACUUUGGGGAUGAGAUCGCCGCAAACCUGCAUGUAGGGGGCAAAUCAUAUUCUUAGGGCAGUGUAUAUCACAUGCCUCUAUUUAGACAAGCUUUUUUCAAUCUUCUAAUUUUUUUAGUAAAUUAUUCUUUUAUAAUAUUUUUAUAAAAUAAAGAUAUAGUAGUUUUUAGGCAAAAUAUUUCCAACACAUGGGACUAAUAACAUUGCACCUUAAAAGUGUAGUUUAAAGAGGCAUGCUUAGUAGACCUUACCACGAGUAUAAUUAGAUCGAUUGAUGCCUCAAAAAAAUCAUUAAUUUUAAAAUCAGCUAGCUAAAAUUUUAGCCUAUAAUNNNNNNNNNNNNNNNNNNNNNNNNNNNNNAUUCUUAGGUAAAUUUACCUAAUUGUUGACGAUUUUUCAGUGUAUCUAAAACUAGAGCUUUGUCUCCUUUAGUGUACUACUUGUCAGCAUUUGCUCACUCUCGAUGAUAGGACCAUGCGCCACUGGGAUGGUAACGACAAUCUUCGAAUUAUUGAAGAUUCCUAGAGCUGUUCUCCCCUUUUUUUAGAACAUACCUAUCA